GGGGGAAUAUUGGGCAAUGGGCGAAAGCCUGACCCAGCGACGCCGCGUGAGGGAAGAAGGUCUUCGGAUUGUAAACCUUUGUAGACAGGGACGAAGAAAUGACGGUACCUGUAAAGUAAGCCACGGCUAACUACGUGCCAGCAGCCGCGGUAAUACGUAGGUGGCAAGCGUUAUCCGGAUUUACUGGGUGUAAAGGGCGUGUAGGCGGAGGAUCAAGUCAGAUGUGAAAUCUAGGGGCUUAACCCCUAAACUGCAUUUGAAACUGACCCCCUUGAGUAUCGGAGAGGCAGGCGGAAUUCCUAGUGUAGCGGUGAAAUGCGUAGAUAUUAGGAGGAACACCAGUGGCGAAGGCGGCCUGCUGGACGACAACUGACGCUGAGGCGCGAAAGCGUGGGGA
rnacentral:rRNA from 1 species